AUUGAACGCUGGCGGCAUGCCUAACACAUGCAAGUCGAACGGCAGCACAGCAGUAGCAAUACUGUGGGUGGCGAGUGGUGGACGGGUGAGGAAUACGUCGGAAUCUGCCCAGUCGUGGGGGAUAACUAGCCGAAAGUUACGCUAAUACCGCAUAUUCUGUGAGCAGGAAAGAGGGGGAUCGCAAGACCUCUUGCUUUAGGAGCGGCCGAUGUCGGAUUAGCUAGUUGGUGAGGUAAAGACUCACCAAGGCGACGAUCCGUAGCGGGUCUGAGAGGAUGAUCCGCCACACUGGGACUGAGACACGGCCCAGACUCCUACGGGAGGCAGCAGUGGGGAAUUUUGGACAAUGGGCGCAAGCCUGAUCCAGCCAUGCCGCGUGAGUGAAGAAGGCCUCGG
rnacentral:rRNA from 1 species